rnacentral:piRNA from 1 species
UGCAAAUCUGUGUACCACUCAGUGAUGGAGGG